rnacentral:rRNA from 1 species
GGGGAAUAUUGCGCAAUGGGCGAAAGCCUGACGCAGCAACGCCGCGUGUGUGAUGAAGGCCUUCGGGUUGUAAAGCACUGUUCAGAGGGAAGAAAUGGCGGGGGUAAACACUUCGUUUUGACGGUACCUCUGAAGAAAGCACUGGCUAACUCCGUGCCAGCAGCCGCGGUAAUACGGAGAGUGCAAGCGUUGUUCGGAAUUAUUGGGCGUAAAGGGCGUCUAGGUGGCAUGGCAAGUCAGAUGUGAAAUCCCUCGGCUCAACCGAGGACGUGCAUUUGAAACUGCUAAGCUUGAGUAUCGGAGGGGGCAGCGGAAUUCCUGGUGUAGAGGUGAAAUUCGUAGAUAUCAGGAGGAACACCAGUGGCGAAGGCGGCUGCCUGGCCGAAUACUGACACUGAAGCGCGAAAGCGUGGGGAGCAAAC